CGCCGGGUCGUACGCAAUCGUUACCCGUGAACCCCGUCAGGCCCGGAAGGGAGCAGCGGCAACGGAGCUUUCGGUGUGCGUGCCCAACCCGGCGCUC
rnacentral:SRP_RNA from 1 species